GUGUGUUUUGGGCCUUCAUCAUGGCUGAAAGCUUAAAAAAGAAAUGCCGACUGGGAAUAUGUGAGCGUUAAAGAUGACAUCCAUGGGAGAUGACAUCAUUGGGACUUCCUGUCCGGAACACCAGGAGCCACUUUGCAUUCCCAAACAUUCCUGACAGAGUCUCCUGUCGCGGCCUGAAGCUUUUCCUUGGACAGCUGGGACCCGGCAACAUGAUCCCCAGGCAGCAGGCCACCCCUACACUAACUCUCUCAAUGUGAGGAAGAGCACGAUGAAGAAGAAAUACCCACAAACAGCAGUUCCCUAACUUGGGCCCGAAAAGAAGCUGAACAUGCGGACAUCCUUCCCACUGAGUCAGUAAGCAAAAAAAAAAAAAGCAUAAACAAGGUUGUCAAGACAACAGACGAUGUAGAGUAGUGGCUCUGUGGACACGUUUAUGGGAAUCCCAUGACGUUUAGUUGGGGGAAGAAGCCAUGAAUAUGAAGC